CCUCGUGAUCCGCCCGUCUCGGCCUCCCAAAGUGCUGGGAUUACGGGCUUGAGCCACCGCGCCCGGCCAAAGAAGUAUUUCUUAAAGAAGCAAAUGCUCGAUCUCCAAGUAAAUUUUAUUCUCUGCUCUUCCAGUAUAAGAAUACGCUAAUAUCUUGAAAAAUAUAUUAUUUUGUGAACUCAUGAAGCUAUUUGAGUUUUUGUAAAAUGAAAACCUUAUGAAAAUGUAUUUUAUUAUUGGAAAGCUUGACCAUUACUGUGAUUUAAUUUUUUAAGCUUGUAAACUUUAUUUGUGCAUAUUUUCAGCAAAGAAGGAUUUUAUUGUUAUUACAUAAAAUAGGCGAUUUCUACAUUUUAAAAUCACAAAUUGAAAGUAAGGCACAAUAAAGUAUAUUUCAAGAUAUAGGUACUCAGGAGUCAUCCUUUUAGUCAUCUGUUCAAUGUAGCCAUCUAUUUUAUACCUACUGUCUACUAUUGUUUGAGGUCCUUGCCAAAGUAUUACAGGCUAGUUAGGAAACAUAAAACAAUUAUAAAGUAAUAUUUGACGAGUAAACUAUCUAUAAAUGGCAAUGAAGGGUAGAAUAAAUUCAAUGAAAAUAUUUAUUUAAUCCUAGUGUUUAUAGGUCUAGAAGAAUAGGCUGAGUAAAUUAGUGUUUCUCUGGCUGUUGUGGUAACACAUUGCAUGCUGUAACAGUUUUAAGUAAUUACAGUUGCAUUAAAAUUUAUCUAUGGCUUUGUCAUUAUAUUCUAAAAUGUCAUGAGUACUUUUUUCUGACCUCAAUUACUAUGAAAUUGGUUUCCCAUAUUUAAUUAACCAAGAAUAUCAAGAUGAUAGGGUGUUACUAAGGUGAGACAUCUGUAGCCUUUUCAAUAAAGACCAGAAUUUUGGAGUGCCUUGAACCCUAAUCAUUGAUCCUUAAUUCUUAUUAAGUCCACUGCCCACCUUUUAAAGACUGAGGCCCAGGAAGAGUAAGUUUCUCUGAGACAAUGUGUACAGUACAGUGGUUCUUGGGUAUUGGCUCUAAGACAAGAUACAAAGAAAGGCUAAAGUUCCAUUUCAUGACUCAUGAGGUGAGGGCCCUUUGUUAAGCUGUAUAACCUCUGUGCAUAGUUUCCUCAUCAGCAAAGUCAGAAAAAGUAUGUACCUAAAGGACUGAUUGUAAGGCUGGGAUGAGAGAAUCCAUGUGAUCAGCCCUCACCAACAGGUGCUGCCCAGUUCAUGAGUGCUGCUGCUGUCCUGCCCAAGUACCCAGCUUGCAGGAGUGCCGGAAUUAGAGUCCCAGGGGUGUUCUCCACGGCCACAUGCUUGAUCCAGGUCUAUCAGAACCAGGCAUCAUCAGCAAACAAAACUGACAAAUCUUCCUGCCCUCUGUGGAAGGCAUCUGAGGAAGAGACUGGAUUUUGUAGCAACAUGUUAUUCUCAUUAUAAACUUUAUUGUUGGAAUACUAAAGCCAAAUCAUCCCCCAUCUCCUUGAUCAGGGUACCCACCUAAUCCAGGCAGCUACACAAUUGUGAGAGUCCUUGUUUUUUUCUGCUGAAACAUCCUUAAAAGGAUACCUCACAAUCCAAGAUUUGGCUUUUCUUAAAUAUGAUUUUUAAUUUUUUUCAUUUCUAUCUAGAGAUUUAAUUGGAAAUGGAAAAUCAUCAAUUUUCCAAUUAAAUAUCUGCUCCAAUCAACAUUAUACCUUUUAGGUUGUCAUUGUCAUGUUUAAGUUUAAGCAACUUUAAGGAUUUUGAAUCUGGCUGCCUGUAAAUUAAAGGUGAAAGUAAUUGUGUUGCAUUGGUACAUUUUGUCAAUUGAGACUGGUUUGCUUGUUCUUAGUGUAUGAAAAGUUUAUUUUUCUAAUGUAGAUUAAUAAAGGAGAUAAAGAAAAGCAAAAUUAAUGAUUUAUGUGGAUGAGAAAAUAAUCAUUUCCUUAAGGAUUAAAUAAAAUUCAUACCUUUUGUUUCUUUUGAAAAGUUUUUAAAAUAAAUUUUAAUGUGUCCUUUAAAUAUUCCUUUAAAAAUAUAUCCUAUUUUAAAAUAUACUCUCUCAGAGAAGGAAUUGAUAUUGAUACCUGUGUUUGAAAUAAAAAAUAACAUGCAUAAGGACUGUUUUUCUAGUUGGUUGAAGCUUUUUCCCUCUCUUCUUUACAUCAGUGAACCAGCAUCUUGCCCUUCAGACCCUACAGCACACUCUUGGGCUCAUGAAGUGUAUGACACAUUCUCCUUGGAGGAUCGGCCGUGUCCUCACUGUCAUGACCACAUGAAUUCUUCUGUAUGUCUUUUCUCACAGCUGAGUACUCCUUUCCUGACCCCCUUGUGGAGUGGAGAAAGGAGGCUCUGACAUUAUGCUUGUGCAAACAUAAUCUAGAGUUUUCUGAGUCUCCUGCAUCUUCAUAAAUGAUUUUUUGUUUUAUGCUGGGACAGUAGUUCUUUAAAUAGAAUAUUCUCCCAUGGAAAUCGCCCACAAUGCUGAGAGUACACCUUGCAAAAGGUAAGUCUAGAAUAUAGGGUGCCUCCUCAGCAUUGCCCAGAAGCUGAAGUUAGGACUCUCUGGAAUACCAAAAACAAAUUUAUAGCAGUUCAUGAGUGUAAGGAAUUAUGAACACCAUGUGCACCAUUAUCCAUAGAUGAAACAAAGAGCCACCACGCAAGUACAGACACAAAGCCCUGAAGAGGAAGCCAUUGACGGGGCUCUCAUUUAUUCUGUAGAAACCCACUUGCCUGUUUUUGAACCAGUUUUCUUUGGAGCAUAUGUCUCACUGUGCAACCAAAGUGGUGUUUAUAUCCUAGUCACUUGGGAAAAAUUCUGUCAUUGCUUCAGGGAGAUCCAUUUUAGGCCUGAAGCGUGGAGCUGGUAAUAGAUGGGAUUUGGUACUUCCGAAGAAAAGACCCUACUGUAAAUUUAGAGAGUUAAUUUUUUCUUUUGUUCACCAUAAUAUUGUUGUUAGAUGGAACUACCUUUUUUGACUAGAAGUUAAAUAUAGAGGCCUAAAUCAGUUUGGUAACUCCCACUCAUUCUAAAUGAGAACAUGUUUGUUUCUCUCCAAUGAGAUGGGAAAUAUUUGAGGCUCUUCAUGGUAUCUCUAUCACCCACUGCAUUUUUUCAUUUGAUGUGUAUUUCCCCAUGUAUUUGAGAUAAUUUUCAAAUAAUUGCCCUAUAGAAAUCUACUUGAUAUUUAAUGUAAAAAAAAGCAAGAUGCAAAAUUAUUAUAGGAUGCAUUUACAGAAAUUACAAAAUUUCUGUAAACUAUUUAUGGAGGAAAACUUGCAGAGUAUAUGUCAACACAUUGCUUUAUUAUUGUCCUUGGUUAUGAAUUUGGUUUUCUGAAACCUGCUUUGUAGUUUUGGUGUUUUCUCAUCAUUGGUACAAUCGAGGCAUUUUUCCCUCGUCUUCAAUCUUGCAAAUCACACGUGAGGAUGCUCAUAGAAGUGCCUCUCAGAUAGGCUGUCGUUUUGCUUACACCAAUAAAUCAUUUAUAAUUAGAAGUAGAAAACUUUUCUUCCCUGUGCAAAUACAUCCCUUUCAAAAGCAGUUCUCUUUUUUGUGAAUGAUGUCUGGGGUCUAAGAAACUAGGGUAACCUUUAUUAUAUGCAUUGCUCUAAUCAAAGCAUUGUUUUGUAUAGUGAACUCAAGGUUACAUGUUUAAGAAAAGCAUCGGGUUAAUUCCAUCAGGAAAAUUGUCUUAUUCAUAAACCUUUAGCCGUUGGAAAAAUACCAUUAGGAGGCCACGCAGAUGUGUAUAACUGUAUAGAAUUUGACAACCAGCAAAACACAACAAUAGCCUACGUUUGCAGAGUGCUGUCUGUUUAAAAACCAACAUAUCUUUCACCAACAAAUACAUAUUCACCUCAACACGAGACUUUCAUGUGGUUAUUAAUAUCAAAUUUUUGAAUGUCUAAAUUUUGGAGUGUAGUCUAGCAGAGGUAAACUGAUUUGCCUAAGGUCCUUCAAUUGACAGAGGUAGAAUUAUUUUCUGUCUCCUGGCUCUGAAAACCUGUCAAGAUCCUCUUGCAACACUGUCCUUCAAAAACACACUUCUGCUGACUCCAAUGCUGGUGGUGUCAUGCUUUAGCUAGUAGUUAUCUGUGACUUAACUAAAUAUGGAAUCCUUUUUUCCUAUUAACCAAUGAGGUUUAGUUUGAAAAUUCUUAGAGAUGAUAAACCCCUCUCCUUUUUUCCUUCCUUCUCCUCUUUUGUCCUGAACAAUGUUCCAUAUAUGUUACUGCCAGAAACAGAUUCUUGACAUUCCUGUUAUGCUUUUCCUACCUUGUAAUCAUUUCUACAGCUGUUAGCAUUGCCAACAAUUAUAUUUCCACUUUUAAAAAAUUGUUACAAAGAUGCAGAGAGAAAAGAGGACAGCCAAGGAAUAAACUACAAGCAAUUACAGGAUAUUUUUGUGAUGUGACAUUUUGGGAACUCAGGGGUAAUGCAUCACUGAUACUGCACUGCUUUUUAAUAUCUAGAUUUUAAUAUUUUGUAUGAAGAUAAAAAUUCACAUGCCUUAAACCUGACCACAGCAUAAUAGGGCAUUUAUUUUUCUAAUUUUCAUACCAUCCACAUUCCUUAACUAUAAGAAGAAUGCUUAUGUUGUACCAGGUUAUAUGAUGGUGCCAAGAAGUAGAUGUGUACAAUUUACUAAUACAUCCUUUUGGAAAAUGCAUAUUAAUAACAUAUUAAGGAGUAAAUUGACAUUGUGCAAAGUGAGCCCGUGAGUUUAAAUGUAUGGAUUGUACACCUUGCUCUUCCCAAUUGCAGAUUUAACAGGAUUUGAUGACCUAAUGAGUUUAUUUCUGAAUGAUUUAUAUUUCUUUGUCAGUUUAAUGAUUUAGUAUUUUAAAUAUUCCUAAAUCACAUUUUAUUGAGAUAUGCUAUUACUGUUUCUUUCCCAUCACUUAACAAAGUUAAGUCACUCCUCUCGCACCCCACUUUUGUACCUACCAAUGUUUUUUGACAGUUACAGGCUGAUUGGCUUGACAUGUCUUAGGAUACCCACCCAAAGAGAGCUUCACUUUAUAAAUACCAAGCUCAUUUUCCUAAAUAUUUUCAAAAAGAUGGAAUUUAUCCUCAUAUGGUGUAUUCAGAUUAAUAAUUUCAGAAAGGGUCAUGUGACCAUGGUAUUACAUAGCUGUGGAAGUCCCUCCAAGAUCUUGUUUUGGGAUAGAAGGACUCAGACAUCCCAACUUUUAAAUUAAUGAACUUACUAAAUUCUAAAACUUUGUAACAGUGUUAAUUUGAGAUGUGUGUUUUGCCUAAGGUGUGUUUUGCUUUGCAAAAUGCAUCUCCUUCAUUUUCAUAUUAUGUUGGAAGCUUAGCGUGAAAGAACGUGCCUCAGAGGGAAACCAUAGGUAAGCAUACUUUAACAAAAGUUAGUGUCAUCAUGAUUUUGUCUUUGCCUGUGGUUUUUUAAGUGUAUAAUGUUUAAUGUUGAUUUGGCUAUCAAAUUACAUUUUCUUUUGUUAAAAAAUUCUGUAAAUUAGAAAUGUACUGAAUCAUUUAUUUAGCAGACCGAAGGUGGGUAACGAUGGCUAAAAGGUUUAAGCUACAGUAAUUUGAAAACGAAAAUACAUAAAAUAAUGUCCUUUCUCUUCUACUCAAUGUUUCUUCACCAAAUAAAGUCCAGCCUGCUCUGAAUUUGUUGCCAGUAGGACCAAUGUUCCAGUGAAUCAUGGUUUAAUAUACCUUGAAAAUGGCACAUCUGUUCUGCGAUAGCAUACCAAUUUUAGCCUCUUUAUAAAAUACGAAGAGUUUGUCAACCAGAAUAAUCUAGAACCUGGCAAUUCAAAUACCAUUCAAAGCAAAUGUUUUAUCUAAUAACUAGAACUAAAUGUUAGGCCUCAUGACAGUUCAACAUUUACUAAACAAGUUUAAUAACAGGGUAAGCCCUCAGUAUCCAGAGCAGAGAUAAGCACACCAUAUUUAUAUAUACAAAUUCUGCCUUUAGCCAUCUGAAGGGGCCCCGAACUAUUGCAGCCAGCAGAGAGUCUUUGCAUGGUCCUAAAAUCCAUACUAUACUUUAUGUUUUACACAUUUUAAUAGCUAGUUUAAUAAAAAGUACCAUGCUUAAUUCUCUGCAUGCAUUAUUUCAACUAAUUAUUGAAAUAAUCUUAUAAAGUGAGUACUUUUGUCUCAGCUUACAGGUGAGAAAAGUUAAAUAGAUCACCCAGGGCUCUGCUAGAACGUAUUGAGCAUGGAUUUCAGCCUGUUCAGUCAGACCCCAGAAGUUGUGUUCUUAACCAUUAGUAACACAUCAUCCCAGGCAGGCCCUACAUGAGCCUCAUAACCAGUUUUAUGCUGGAUAAUAUUAUCCCUAUUUCACAGAUGGCAAAACUGAGGUCCAGAGACUUUAAGGGACCUACUCAAGAUUACAGUCAUGAGCAGCGGCACUGGGAUGUAGGGUCCUGGCACUCUACCUCACGUGGUCCUCUUUCCUGUUUUGGGUAGGUCUCUACUACCACUACUCAUUUCUGAUGCUGGAAAGGCUGUGUUUUAUACAUUUCUGUUUCUGGCUUGGAACAAAACACUCUCUGGGUCUCUGCUUGAUCAGUGACCCCUCUAAACUGCACCCCACUACAGCAGGGAUGGCAUAAACUUCUUUACACAGCAUCUUUUUGUUCCCACCUCACCCCCAGAGCUGUAAUAAGUAGAGCCUGCCAAAUGUCAAAGAGAUGAUUUGUCUUGUCACCACUAGUUUCCCUUUUCUCUGCCUUGUAUGUAACAGGAAUAUUCUUUAGUUCCCCCUUAUGUUCUAAAGCAACUUCCCAACCUAAAAAUAGAAAAGGAGCUGUGAGUCAUUUACACCUUAGUGUGAAUGUGCUCUUGUGACUGUGCCAAGGCUGUUGUGCCUAACUCUUUUAAUGUAACAGCAGAAUGAGAGUCUCUGGAUUCUCCUUGCUCCUUCCCUGAGAAGAAUGAAGUGGGAAUUGUUGGUCUAGACAUCAAGACUACCAGAGACCUAUUGCGCAGAGAUGUUUGGGCUGUACAAUUGCUGUAGAUAUGCAUCUGGAGCAGCCUUUUCUGAGCAAUGGCAUUAUCAGUCCAGGUUCUCUCACUCUUUCCAUCUCUCCACUUGACCCAGGUGGACUCUUGCCCUCCACCCCUUCCAACUUGUCAGUGAUUCAGAGAACAUUCUCCAUCCUUCGAAUAAUUACAUUCCUUCAUCUUGCGGGGGACCCAAUUCAGUGAUGGAGCGGCUCUUGGGAGCAGCCUUGGCUUAUAGUGCAGCUCUCUGCUAUCUUCAACAGGCUGGUAUUCGGGGAGCUUGGAUGUAACUGGUUGCACACUCGUGUGUGUAUGUGCAUGUGUGUAGAGCAGUAAGAGCCUUCAAGGUAGAUGCUCGAGGAAGCCUCAGACAUCUAGCCCCAUUACUGGGGCAAUGUCUUACUUGGGUUUUUCCAGAAACAGACCUGGAGACCAGGAUUCAAGUGCCACUGGUAUAUUUGGGAUAUGACUCCUGCAGUGCUGGUAGGAGAGUGGAGAAGCGAGGCAAGGAAAGGAAGGCUGUCAAGGAGCAUGUUAGGAAGUCAUUCACCACCGCAGGCAGCCCACUGAGGACCUCUGGGAGCAAGUGUGGCACACAAGCCUCAGCAUUGCUGCCCUGUGCCUUGAGGGGUAAGGGAUGAGGAUUUUCCCCACCAGUUCCCUAUAGUCCUUGGUGAGAGCUUCUGGGGUGGAGGUUAAGGCCUUUAGGUCAGAGAAAUUUUCUUUAGUUUAGGAAAAACCUUUCAGGCCAAAGUCCAGACACUCACUGGAACACACUGAAGUGGUUAGGUCCAAGGGCUGUAGGCAGAGCUCCCAUAUGCUUCUGCAGAGGUGUUUCAGGUGGGAGGAGUAGAGAGAGCCUUCUCUGCUUGACACCGUCUUCAGCAAGGGUUUCUGUAUCUGUGCAUUGAGAAUUAAAUUAUUCACAUGGUCAGAGAAGCCCAUCACCACUGAUAAUUAUUGUAGGUAUGGAAAACUAACAACUCAGAAGGGAGAAAAAAAUACCAAGCAGUUGGUUUGGCUGAACACAAGUAAAGACUCUCACAGUCACUGAUGUGAACUGCUUAUUAUCAAUGUCUGAUUACAGUGCUGCAUACUAAUGAUUAUGCGUGUCAUUAAAUGUGUCAGAUUAACUUUGUUAUAAAAUUUAUGACAACAUUAAAUUUUAUUACAUG